CGAGACUCAGUGAAAUUGAACUCGCUGUGAAGAUGCAGUGUACCCGCGGCAAGACGGAAAGACCCCGUGAACCUUUACUAUAGCUUGACACUGAACAUUGAGCCUUGAUGUGUAGGAUAGGUGGGAGGCUUUGAAGUGUGGACGCCAGUCUGCAUGGAGCCGACCUUGAAAUACCACCCUUUAAUGUUUGAUGUUCUAACGUUGACCCGUAAUCCGGGUUGCGGACAGUGUCUGGUGGGUAGUUUGACUGGGGCGGUCUCCUCCUAAAGAGUAACGGAGGAGCACGAAGGUUGGCUAAUCCUGGUCGGACAUCAGGAGGUUAGUGCAAUGGCAUAAGCCAGCUUGACUGCGAGCGUGACGGCGCGAGCAGGUGCGAAAGCAGGUCAUAGUGAUCCGGUGGUUCUGAAUGGAAGGGCCAUCGCUCAACGGAUAAAAGGUACUCCGGGGAUAACAGGCUGAUACCGCCCAAGAGUUCAUAUCGACGGCGGUGUUUGGCACCUCGAUGUCGGCUCAUCACAUCCUGGGGCUGAAGUAGGUCCCAAGGGUAUGGCUGUUCGCCAUUUAAAGUGGUACGCGAGCUGGGUUUAGAACGUCGUGAGACAGUUCGGUCCCUA
rnacentral:rRNA from 1 species